rnacentral:lncRNA from 1 species
GUUAAAACUGAUGUAAGUUAAAGCUGUAAUGAAUGUUCAUUAUAUUGUAUGCUGUCAUUGGAUCAAUGAGGAAGAACCUGGACAGGAAACUGUAACUAAUCCACUUGUGAAGUAUUCCCUUUUUACUUCCAAUUCUCAGGUGUCCUACAUUAGCCAAGACUGUGAAGAAAUUCCAGAAUUCCUGGGAAGAAAAUACGGACAUAUGGCAAAAAGGCUAGAUCUUAGUUUCAACUUGUUAAGGAGAAAAUCUAACAAUAAUCCUGAGUUUGAUGUCAGAGAGAAACUAGAGGACUGGGCUAGAGGGUCACCAGUGUACUGAGGAAUGGGUUUAAGCUGCAAAACAACACAAAGGAUGCUGACAGUCCACAUUUUCCUGGGCUUUAAACGAGGUCUUUGGUAAGUUUAAAGAAUCUUCUCCUUGCAUGACUAAACCUAUUGAUGGUUUAGAGAAAAAGCUGCCUUAGGAGGCUUAAGACUGAACCUUUAUUCCAAUUGUACUGAAAACCUGAAGAUGUUAAUUUUUUUUUUUUCUUACAUUGUAUAAUUGGGGAAAAAUUAAGGAGGGUCCAUGAACUAUGAAUAAGCAAUGUGCAUGAACAGUAUGUCUUCUUCUAGAUGUCUCCCUUAGUGAAACUCUGGUGUAAUACAUGUUUUAGAUUAAUUUAAUUUCCAUUUACACUUUACAUCUGGAGUUAAUCUUUCAAGAAAAUCCCACACAGGAAAGUAAACUAAUGAAACAAAAAAGGUAAUUUAAUACUUAAAGGUUUCUGUAAAAAUAAAAUCAACUUCAGAAGUAGACUAGUGACA